rnacentral:rRNA from 1 species
GAUGAACGCUGGCGGCGUGCCUAAUACAUGCAAGUCGAGCGAACGGACGAGAAGCUUGCUUCUCUGAUGUUAGCGGCGGACGGGUGAGUAACACGUGGAUAACCUACCUAUAAGACUGGGAUAACUUCGGGAAACCGGAGCUAAUACCGGAUAAUAUUUUGAACCGCAUGGUUCAAAAGUGAAAGACGUUCUUGCUGUCACUUAUAGAUGUAUCCGCGCUGCAUUAGCUAGUUGGUAAGGUAACGGCUUACCAAGGCAACGAUGCAUAGCCGACCUGAGAGGGUGAUCGGCCACACUGGAACUGAGACACGGUCCAGACUCCUACGGGAGGCAGCAGUAGGGAAUCUUCCGCAAUGGGCGAAAGCCUGACGGAGCAACGCCGCGUGAGUGAUGAAGGUCUUCGGAUCGUAAAACUCUGUUAUUAGGGAAGAACAUAUGUGUAAGUAACUGUGCACAUCUUGACGGUACCUAAUCAGAAAGCCACGGCUAACUACGUG